UACGUAGGGCGCAAGCGUUGUCCGGAAUUAUUGGGCGUAAAGAGCUCGUAGGCGGUCUGUCGCGUCGGAUGUGAAAGCCCGGGGCUUAACCCCGGGUCUGCAUUCGAUACGGGCAGACUAGAGUGUGGUAGGGGAGAUCGGGAUUCCUGGUGUAGCGGUGAAAUGCGCAGAUAUCAGGAGGAACACCGGUGGCGAAGGCGGAUCUCUGGGCCAUUACUGACGCUGAGGAGCGAAAGCGUGGGGAGCGAACAGG
rnacentral:rRNA from 1 species